CGUAAUAAUUGACAGUAUUCGAUUUCAGUCAGUAAGUACUUUUUUGCACUACCGUUCAUCAUGGGAUUGAGAAAUUGAUGGAAAGAUUACGUUUUACGUAAUCGAGUAUUUAUCAUUAAAGCGAAACUUUCGUCCGGUUAUUCGCAGGUUAAAAACGAAACUCAGAUAUUUCCGGGUAUUGCUCUUAGCUACAUUGCGAGACAACGAUAUAUUUUACCAAGGCAAAUAUACUUUUGGUUAAUAAGAUCGAGUCAUCGUACAAAACUUAACAGAAAAAUUACACGCACAAGAUUAACACACACGAAUGUGCCUCGUUUUUCACAUCUUUUUGUGGAGUGUCUAGACUGUACUUCAACCAUCUCGAUCCGAAAAAAAAUCCUGAGAGUAUUGGAUAGAAGAUUCUUUGAAGGUGCCUCCAUUAUGGCUGACUCGGCUUUCCUCCGCAUCAGUAAGCAAGAUAAGAAUUUUCCUCGUAGAGAUUUUCAAAAAAUUCCGCCCGAUGAGAGCAGACGAUAAGCCUGAAGAAUCUUGCAAAAAACGACGAAAACUCCGAGAAAAAUAUUCCCCUGAAUCAUUACAGCGACGCUGCAGAAGUUGGCCCAACAGUUGUCGAAAAAUAAAAUGAAAAAUUGGUAAUCAUAAAGAGUGGAAUUUGGGCAAUACCAGAUAAAGAUCCUGCUACAGCUCUCUUCUUUCUCGUUUGGCAUCAAUACUUUUACCGCAGUUCGGGAGCACGUGAAAACAUUGACCGGAGAUAGGGAAGAGCUGAAAAGCGAAAACGAGGCGAUGAUUGUUGUAAUCAACGUGGAGAGAACCGCGGUCGUCGCUGCUCUACAUAAAGAAUUGUCAAAGCCUGUGGGAACGAAAAAACAGAGAACAACAAAAAACAUUCUUUUACGAUGCAUUCCGACAGUUCCAAGUUAUCGAUGUUAUCGCAGGGAUGCGCUCCACCCAGUACUAUAAAAAAGUAAAACGAUAUGACGCCUCAACGAUUCAAAUACGGACGUGAUAACGUUCUACUGCGAUAUUGGUGUCGAUUCUUUUUUUCUCCCACAGGGUGUACAAAUGGCAAUGUGUAAAAUUGCCGAUAAUCAAUGAGCGUAUAUCAAUACAGGUGACGACUCUUGUAACUGGCAUACAGCAAUUCCCAAUCCAAUUUGACACAAGUGUAUAGAUGUGCUCGUUUUUCUCAAGGCGUAGUAAUAUUUUGUGUCAGCAAAGACGUGUUGAAUAGAUUGACGUCAUAUAUCGAAUGAUCGAUUGAAGGUUGCGAGAUUAAUUUUCAAUGGCAAAUAAUUAUAAUGUUUUUUAGUCAUCAUAACAUAGAUCCGUAUAAGUCGUAAGGCUCGUAAACGCCAAAAAACAAUGUGGAUUCCUAAUGACGUUAUUUUUGGGUUAAGGGGGGUCCUGCUUUAGGAAGUCAAAAAAUCAAUUGUUUUCGGGAAUGUUAUUAUAGGAUAGCGGAAAUAACUCACCACAGCGAACUUUUCGGCGUAGUUUCGAAGAUAUUUCAAGAGUACAAACACAUUGUUUUGAUGUGAUAAAUACUGUGAAAACAAAAUUUCCGAGAUAAGAAGAGCGAAAAAUCUUAAAAUAAUCAAAAAUAAGAUGAUUCUCGAAAUUUUGCUACGAAACAACAUAUUUUCAACGAAGCAGAGACGUUACCGUCUCUGCGAGUGAACCAUUCAAGAGUCAAGAAGCUUACAAACUUAAUUCCCCGAGGAAAUUUUGUUUGUAAUAUUUUAAAGCGAUGGCUCGGCAAGUCGCAUUAAAUAAAUCAGUGAGGCCAUCACUGUAUCGGUUGCUACUGUAAUCAAGCCUUCAUAACCAUUUAGAUUCUCGUCUCCUUGUAUUGCGAAUUCCAGUUUUUUCAGGGAGCGCAUUUUACGAUAUAUGAAAUCUGCUCAGCACACCUGGCUGUACAUUACCACGCUGCGCGGUUGAACGAACAGGCCAGUUUUCUCUCUAUCACAUAGAAGCAGUAGUGAGAACACAGCCCACUAAGUUAAAGUUUUGUCGCCUGGUAGUGACGGGUGAAUUCAUUAACUUACAGCUCGGUUAGCAGGGGAAAAAACUGUGGCAACCGUGUCUGGUUACUUUAUAUACAUAUAUAAUAUGAACAGGAUCGUCCACCGAAUACGGGACGAAGAGAACAACGUAGGAAGAGAGAGAGAGAGAGAGAGAAAGAGAGGAAGAAAGAAGCUGUACUCGAUGGAGGAUCGUGAUUGAUAGAAAGAAACGACCAGGAUGAACGUGGCAAACGCCAAUGACCCGUAAAGCUCUUUCGAGGCUUGUCCACCACGAAAGACGGAUAGUAAUGGUUGCAAGUGUUAAAAAGUAGAUGAACAGUUUAGCAGUUUAAAUUCCGUGGUGAACGAAGAGACGAGUGAUUUUACUGUUCCGAGAUUUUUUCGUCCAUUCACAUCCAGCCAAACAUAAAUGUGAUAUCGCAUGCAUCAUCAAUUCUGUUGAAUGGUUAUCGAAAACAUUGAAUUUUACGAUUCGUACUGGUACCUCGAAGAAAAAAAUACCAGAAAUGACAAUUCUGUAUAUUUAUUCAGUGCAUACGAGUUUUGUCUUUAUAGUUUCGUUGAGCUUGAUAACAUCCAUUUGCGUAGAUACGAAGAGGAAUAAAAAUCAAAACGAUUUCAUAUUGUCAGACUAAAUUCAACUCAUUCCGGUACUCUGGUAGGACGACUUGAAAAAAAAAAGCAAGAAUGAAACUAAGUAGAGAGCCUCGAUGGAGACAAAGAUACAGAGCUUGAUAAAAAUUCCAAUUUAAUCUUACGAGAGUGCUCGUAUAUUCGUCAAAAAUACUCGAAGAGCUUGGCGACGUAAUGUAUAAGUAGUAAAACGGUAGGAUGAGAACUGCAGCCGUCAGAAGGUGAUUCUUUUAAGGCAGAGAAAAUGUCUACCAUUGAAUUUAUAUGUACGCGUUCACUUAGCGUAAAAUCCUGGGAAUUUAUUUCACAGUGUAAUUCAAUUACGCGUUACGUCGAUAAUUUAUUGUCUCCGAGUGCGUCUCUCUCGCUCAUUCGGUAGCGCGUUCGAUCGUUCAAUGUGCACAAACACAGUUAUUUCUUUUGCAUUUCAUACAAAUGAAACGGGGGAAAUGUGUUCACUCAAGCGAGCGGGAAUAGUAAUGAUUUCAUUGUUAAAACGCGACACAAGAGGAAUGAGUAAAUUCUUUGGCACGUUUCUCGCUCCAUCUUUCGUGAAAAUGAAGGAAAAUUGAGAAGAAGACAGAAGAAUGAAUUGGCGUGAAUACCGGAGAGAGUUACGCUCCCGUGGCUAUUAUAUAUUGGAGCGCGAAACGACCGGCGGAUGGAGCUCAGUCGCAAAUUGGAAUCUCUCGAAUAAUCUUGAUGCAGAGACCAACGGUAGCAGUGAGAGACUCAAUGGGUUCCGAGAUUGAAAGUUCCGCUUCCUUGCUACACGGCCGAACGAACCACCCUUGUCACAAGGGGCGAUGCUCGUUCACGUUCAAUUUUCAACAGCGUCCAAACUUUGGAUACGAGGCUGUUGCGGCAAUACAUUUUAUCAAACAUGGAAUAAAAGGAAAAGAAGAAGUGGAAAAGGCAGUGGUGAUGAGUACCGAAAAUAAGGUUUCAGACGAAUGCGGAAAAGGCGGUGCGUUAAUUGCGGCAAACCUGUCGACUCGUUGGACUCCUCGCAACUUCUCGCUCCGGGCUGUACGGAGGAGUUCUCGGGAAAGGGUGUUUUUUAAUUAAAUUCCCUGUGGUUACAAAAGAUCGUCGUCAGGAGAGCUCAAAAAAAGAACUAUUGAGCAUGAACCUCGACUUUCGUUCGAAGAUAGAGAACGGAAACGGUGGAAUUCGAUGUCUCGUAGCUCAUCACGAUCAAUUUGAAAAGCGUUUCGACUUCCAUCCAGAAGAAGAAAAAAAAUGAUUGUUUAUCUAACAGAACUGAUACUCCGAUUCAAUGAAUAUUGAGCAAGAUUUUCAAACUCAUCGAUCGAAAUUGUUUCUGUUGUAUCCCAUGUUGUAAAAUGGAAAAAAAGUUAUUUCAUCGCAGCAUCCAUUUUUUCCUGUUCAGUAUCAAAAAUUUUCCAACAGCAAAAUCAAUCGACUAAAUUCGCACUACGGUUUUCGCACACCAAAAUUCGAGCCGUGACGAAAACCUCGUAUGGAAAUUCACACAUAGUGAAAUGUGAAUCCGAUCACCCCUCAAAAAUGUUGUGUCAACAGCAGAAGAAAUAAAAAAACAUCGAACGUUAUGGGAAAUAUA